AUCCAAGGUGAUUCCCUCUCCAAGAGACCAACUAAUGCCCUUUGCGGGAACAUACCAACUUGGAACCGAACGUGGCAUGUGUCUUCUUGCCUACACAC
rnacentral:snoRNA from 1 species